GUCUCUAUCGUCUAGAGGCCUAGGACAUCGCCCUUUCACGGCGGUAACCGGGGUUCGAAUCCCCGUAGGGACGCCA
rnacentral:tRNA from 1 species